rnacentral:misc_RNA from 1 species
CUUCAUCUUGGUCAAUGACGUCGCGAUAAUCCACUCAGACGCUGGUUAGUUGAUGCGGAUUGAGGCGCCUUUUUCACUAAAUCGCAUGAAGAAAAUUGGAGAAGAGAUGACAGUUAUUCGAGAACAGCGAGUCACAAUUGACAGAAUGGAAGUUGAAGCGUUUUCCCCAACCCAAGUGUACCACCAGACAGCUGUCCAAAUAUAGUAUCACCCGACAGCCAAGAGCAUCUUGAGGUAACAUCUCAAGUAUCAGAGGACUGCGUGGAACUUUUUUGCGGGUGUGACCCUCGGUAUAAGUGGUACGAUAUCGAAGGAAAAGGUGUAUGCUGCCAAUGCCUGUUCUGUUGUCCCUUUUUGGUGAUAUUCUUGUCCAUACUUGCUGCAAUCCUGCAUUUCCUGUAUUGGUAUUUGUACGUUUGAUAGCGGCAAACAAUCUUUGUAGCAGCUGUAGUAUAUUACAAACACUGGCUGGUGUCAGUGACUCUGAUGCAACUCCCAAAUCACUUUCACCGAAAGUAUGAAUUUCAUGACCAAUCGGUUCAUCAGGAAAUAAACUGCUGGUAGUUAGAGAACUAACAAUUAGCCGAAUUUAGUGAACAACGUAUAGCUGAUGAGGAGUAGAAAUAAGCUUAUUAUAUACGCUCCUGAAGCCGGAGAGUCUUAAUGUCCACCAUUAAUAAAUACUCAAGUAUGUGUUCGUUAGUGUCCCUCAUAUGCAUCGACGGAUGUGAAAUUACGUUUGAGGUAAACUGCUUAACCUUAACUCCGACGAGUGACCAAGACAGAGUUUCUUCUUACAAUGUUAGUACAAUAUCUAGUAGACAAGUGAUGAGAAUAAAGAAAUUAUCACUUAGAGGAUUAUUAAUUGAUCCGAUAUCAAAUUCUCCGAAUUGCAUCAUAAGUAGUGUAUGGAAUGCCGUAAUGAGAAUCACUAAUGAGAUCUUGAAUGAAUGAACUUUA